AUUGAACGCUGGCGGCAUGCUUUACACAUGCAAGUCGAACGGUAACAGGCCGCAAGGUGCUGACGAGUGGCGAACGGGUGAGUAAUGCAUCGGAAUGUGCCCAGUCGUGGGGGAUAACUACUCGAAAGAGUAGCUAAUACCGCAUACGAUCUAUGGAUGAAAGCGGGGGACCGUAAGGCCUCGCGCGAUUGGAGCGGCCGAUGUCAGAUUAGGUAGUUGGUGGGGUAAAGGCUCACCAAGCCAACGAUCUGUAGCUGGUCUGAGAGGACGACCAGCCACACUGGGACUGAGACACGGCCCAGACUCCUACGGGAGGCAGCAGUGGGGAAUUUUGGACAAUGGGCGCAAGCCUGAUCCAGCAAUGCCGCGUGCAGGAAGAAGGCCUUCGGGCUGUAAACUGCUUUUGUACGGAACGAAACGGCUCUGGUUAAUACCCGGGGCUAAUGACGGUACCGUAAGAAUAAGCACCGGCUAACUACGUG
rnacentral:rRNA from 1 species